AUCCCCUGGCAAUGGGCAAAGAGACACCUUGGUGGUGGUGUUGCUCUUCUUCAGUCUAUCAGUCAGGGGCAUGACAGUCCUUUGUUCAUCCUAGCUUGAUGCCUGACUUGGUGGCCAAAGCUGUUUCAUGCCUAGGGCACAUAA